rnacentral:lncRNA from 1 species
AUGGGCAAUGGGACGGCAAUGGGGCGGCGUUGGGAUGGGGCGGCAUCGGGUCCCAACCGACGUCGGGUUGGGUGCUGCCUCCACCUGCAGGGCUGUAGGAGCAGCGUGGGGCUGAGCUCCCGGCGCCCCGUGGGAUCUCGUGGUGCCGCUGCCGGGAUGGGAGCACGCGGGAGGAGCACCCAUGGGUGGCGGAACGUGCGGAGCGCGUGCAGCACCUUGCACGAAAAUGUUGGUUGCCACGGAAACACGGCACUUUCUGUCCCCGUUGUUCUGGGGGGGAGGGAAGGGCUCGCAGCCACGCGCGGCGCCGUGGGUCGGCUCCCGAUCCGUGGGUUUGGCCAGCACCCCUCCCUGCCCACAGCCCUUUGGCCAUCCGUGGCACAGAGUUGGGUUUGGAGGAGCGGCCGUCCUUCCUUCGUUGGGAAGGGUUGUGAAAAGAGUCCCCAAAUUGUUCCCAAAUCCAGGGCACGGCGACUCAACGUGCUCCUCUCCGUGUCCCCCUGCCCGUCCCUCACCCCCACGCCCCGAUCCCCCACAUCCUGGGGUCCCACUGGGGUCACUGUCCCAGGCACGACUGUCACCCUUUGUAGGGACAUCACCCCAACGCCACCACCCUCCAUGGGGCCAACACCCCACUGCUGUCGCUCUCCACAAGGCUGUCACUUUCUGUGGGACUGUCACUCCAGUGCCACCACCCUCCGAGGGGCUGCCAGCCUCUACAGGGCCAUCGCUCCACCACCAUCACCUUCCAUAGGGACAUCACUCAGUGCCAUCGCCUUCCAUGGUGACAUCCAGUGCCAUCACCCUCCACGAGGCUGCCACCCUCCGUGGGGACCUCACCCCAAAGCCACCACCCUCCAUGGGGCUGUCAUUCUCCACGGUGCCAUCACCCCACAGCCAUCCCUCCCCACGGGGCCAUCGCUCUCAGUGGGGCCGUCUCCCCAUUGUCACCUCCCCAUGACAACAUCACCCUUCCCAAUCCCUGUCCCCAUUCAUUUUGGGGCAUUUGGACCAGCUGUCCCCACAGAUUCCCUUCCAACCCAACGACCCAACGAUGCUCUGGACCCCGAUGUCCCCCCCCCCCCCCCCCAGGUCCCCUCUCCCCACAGCCUUGGCACAACCCCCUCCCUGCGCUCACCUCCCUCGAUCCCUCAGCCCUAA